UAUAAGUUGGUGGAAGUUUGGUGGGAUUAGAUACCCAACUCUUAGAAAGAUUGCUCGAGACAUUAUGGCAAUCCCUAUUACAACUGUUGCAUCCGAAUCUACAUUUAGUAUUGCUGGGAGAGUCAUUAGUCCAUGCCGUAGUCUACUUACAUCUCAACUUGUGGAGGCACUUAUGUGUGUGCAAGCUUGGGGUCGUGCCGAUAUGAUAGGUGAAUUUCGUGACAAGAUAAAUGCAUUGAGCACUGCUCUUGAGGAUGAAUUAGAAUUGGAGGAUGGACAGCCUACUGUUGUUCAAGUUUGAGUAUUUUAGUGCCCCAUUGACUCACUGUUCGAUACUUUGAUGCAUGGGUUGAUGCCUGCAUGGCAAUGUAAUAGCCUAAUAGGACUUAAUUAUGUGUUUGUAUUAUUGUGGGACUAUCAUUGUGUUUGUGUGAUCUUGAACUAUUGUGACUUGUAAGAUGUGGGUGUGGGACUGUGAGCUUGUGAGUUACUGUUUUAUUGAGUUGAACUUGUGAUUUGUGAUUUUAGA